rnacentral:lncRNA from 10 species
UAAAGACCCUCUCAGAUGAAGAAACACUAAGAGAAUUUGUCACCAGUAGACCAUUCCUAAAGGAAGUCCCUGAAACAGAAAGGAAGUGAUUAAAGAAAGAAUCUUGGAACAUCAAAAAGAAAUAACAGGAAGAACAGAAAUAUGGGUGUGCUAGCACUCAAUGCUAAAGAUGGCACCCAGUUCAAGGUCAGCAAAUGGAAGGCAUCCUCGCCCACAACUCUUCAGUGGACAUGGCUUCUCUAUCAGAGAGCGCUUUUCAGCUAAGUCCAGAUGCAGGCCUGAAGUCUUCUCUGCCCAUCCCUCCAGAAGGCCACUGUGAUAACCUGAAUUGGGAAGGAAAGAGAAGCCCCGUUGCCUUCCAAGAUCACCUUCUUCUUUUUUUUUCCUCCAGGCAGAUUUUCAGGCUAAUUUUCCCAGGGGGAAAAAAAUUAGUAUCUCUCCUGUUUGAAAGCAUUCUGAGAUGAAAAUGAAAUAGAAAUUGAAGAUUGUUUCCAUUCUUAAGGGUUUUGGUCAAUCGUUUUUAGAAAUUUCUUCCUGGGAUUUAUAUUAUUUUCCUCCCACUUUACCUCUCCUGUGUCCAUUUUGGAGAAAAGCACCUCGUUUAUCUUUGGGAGACAGUAACGCAGAAACUGUAACUGAGCCGAUUUCCCCUUGAGGAUCAAAAUAUUUGUGUUAAAUGAAAUGAGAAAUCUGCUAAGUGGCGGCAUGCAUCCCCCAGGGAAGGAUAUUUUGUAAUUUUGAAAAAUUCCUACUGAAAUUCUUCUCUUGCCA